rnacentral:rRNA from 1 species
UUGGACAAUGGGCUAAAGCCUGAUCCAGCAAUGCCGCGUGUGUGAAGAAGGCCUGAGGGUUGUAAAGCACUUUCAGUUGGGAAGAAAAGCUUUGGGUUAAUACCCUAAAGUCUUGACGUUACCAACAGAAGAAGCACCGGCUAACUCUGUGCCAGCAGCCGCGGUAAUACAGAGGGUGCGAGCGUUAAUCGGAAUUACUGGGCGUAAAGCGUGCGUAGGCUGUUAAGUCAGUCGGAUGUGAAAGCCCAAGGCUUAACCUUGGAACUGCAUUCGAUACUGCUUAGCUAGAGUACAGUAGAGGGAAGCGGAAUUCCUAGUGUAGCGGUGAAAUGCGUAGAUAUUAGGAAGAACACCAGUGGCGAAGGCGGCUUCCUGGACUGAUACUGACGCUGAGGUACGAAAGCGUGGGGAGCAAACAGGAUUAGAUACCCUGGUAGUCCACGCCCUAAACGAUGAGAACUAGAUGUUGGGGGAAAUUAAUCCCUUAGUNUCGCAGCUAACGCGUUAAGUANNCCGCCUGGGGAGUACGGCCGCAAGGUUA